rnacentral:rRNA from 1 species
CGGACGGGUGAGUAACGCGUGGGUAACCUGCCUCAUACAGGGGGAUAACGGUUAGAAAUGACUGCUAAUACCGCAUAAGCGCACAGUACCGCAUGGUACGGUGUGAAAAACUCCGGUGGUAUGAGAUGGACCCGCGUCUGAUUAGCUGGUUGGUGAGGUAACGGCCCACCAAGGCGACGAUCAGUAGCCGGACUGAGAGGUUGACCGGCCACAUUGGGACUGAGAUACGGCCCAG